AUACGGAGGAUCCGAGCGUUAUCCGGAUUUAUUGGGUUUAAAGGGUGCGCAGGCGGCCAUUUAAGUCAGCGGUUAAAUCGUGGGGCUCAACCCCAUUCUGCCGUUGAUACUGGGUGGCUUGAUUGCGGUCGAGGUUGGCGGAAUUCGUUGUGUAGCGGUGAAAUGCAUAGAUAUGACGAAGAACACCGAUUGCGUAGGCAGCUGACCAGACCGCAAAUGACGCUCAUGCACGAAAGUGCGGGGAUCGAACAGGAUUAGAUACCCUGGUAGUCCGCACAGUAAACGAUGAAUACUUGUUUUCGGCGAUAUAAUGUCGGAGGCAAAGCGAAAGCGAUAAGUAUUCCCCCUGGGGAGUACGCCGGCAACGGUGAAACUCAAAUGAAUUGACGG
rnacentral:rRNA from 1 species